rnacentral:rRNA from 1 species
AGUUAACGUUGGCGGCGUGCCUAACACAUGCAAGUCGAACGCGUCCUAAGGGCAACUUUAGGAUGAGUGGCGAACGGGUGAGUAUCACGUGGGUAAUCUUCCUUUAAGUGGGGAAUAAGCUCUCGAAAGGGAGUCUAAUACCGCAUGACAUUCCGGGACACAAGUCCCGUAAUCAAAGCCGCAAGGCGCUUGAAGAUGAGCCUGCGUCCUAUUAGCUAGUUGGUGGGGUAACGGCCUACCAAGGCUCAGAUGGGUAGCCGGCCUGAGAGGGUGAACGGCCACACUGGGACUGAGACACGGCCCAGACUCCUACGGGAGGCAGCAGUGAGGAAUUUUGCGCAAUGGGGGAAACCCUGACGCAGCGACGCCGCGUGGAGGAUGAAGGCCUUCGGGUCGUAAACUCCUGUCAGAGGUGAAGAAUGCCGCAAGGGUUGACGGUAACCUCAGAGGAAGCCCGGCUAACUACGUG